rnacentral:rRNA from 1 species
AGAGGGUGCGAGCGUUAAUCGGAUUUACUGGGCGUAAAGCGUGUGUAGGCGGUUUGUUAAGUCGGGUGUGAAAUCCCUGGGCUCAACCUGGGAAUUGCAUUCGAUACUGGCAAGCUAGAGUACGGUAGAGGGCGGCGGAAUUCCGGGUGUAGCGGUGAAAUGCGUGGAUAUCCGGAGGAACACCGAUGGCGAAGGCAACCGCCUGGGCCUGUACUGACGCUGAGACACGAAAGCGUGGGGAGCAAACAGGAUUAGAUACCCUGGUAGUCCACGCCGUAAACGAUGAGAACUUGACGUCGGUUUGCUCUGCGAAUCGGUGUCGAAGCUAACGCGCUAAGUUCUCCGCCUGGGGAGUACGGCCGCAAGGUUG